rnacentral:rRNA from 1 species
GACGUAGGGCGCGAGCGUUGUCCGGAUUUAUUGGGCGUAAAGAGCUCGUAGGCGGCUUGUCGCGUCGACUGUGAAAACCCGCGGCUCAACCGUGUGGUCUGCAGUCGAUACGGGCAGGCUAGAGUUCGGUAGGGGAGACUGGAAUUCCUGGUGUAGCGGUGAAAUGCGCAGAUAUCAGGAAGAACACCCGUGGCUAAGGCGGCUCUCUAGUACGGUACUGACGCUGAGACGCGAAAGCGUGGGGAGCGAACAGG